rnacentral:lncRNA from 1 species
GCAACCUGCUGCCCAGGUACAUACCUCUGAUUUGCUCCUUAUUUGCCAGCCACACUACCAUGUCCAGCACACGCCGUGGAAAGCUGUCGUCCUUCUGAAAGCUGGAGAUGAUCUCCAGCUCUGAACGGCUGGGUUUUGCCCCUGCAGUGAAAUAGUACCCUUCCCAGUAGCUUGGGGGAGGCACUGGAAUCUACGAGGUACAAGGAAAAGCAACCAGCAUGGUCAAAACUAGCAGAGCAUCCCCCAAGAUUCCUUAACAAAAUGUGGAGGACAAACUAUGGCCUUACAGAUGUUAGUGGUGGCGGUUGAUGUUGUUGAGUAGCACCAAGUCGGGACCGAUUCCUGGUCGACUCCUUGGAGCCCUCUAUGCAGUUUUCUUGGCAGGGAGACAGAAAUGGUUUGCCANUGCCUACUUCUAGCAAUCAGACCGGCAACCCUCUGUUUUCCAGGCAGUCUGCUCUACCACUGAGCUUCAGCCCAUCCCAGACUCCAUGGGCACCUUUAUGCAGUCGGUAGCAUGAACUUUUGUAGACAAAACCUACUCCAUUAGAUGCAUGGGGUAAAGAACCUAGGGACAGACCUAUAUAUGUAUGAAAAGCAACAGGAAUGCAAAACUCUGGGUGUGGUGAUGAGGUUGACAAGUUCACUAUAAGGACGGUCAUUAAGGCUGUAUGAUGAAUAGAGGCGCAAACUUGAAAGAGUAUUGUAAUGUCGAGUGAUGCUGGCUGGCAACUAGAAUGGAGAUGUGAUGAACAGUCCAAGGGAACCCUCAAAUAUUAGCAAAGAAACUUGCCUCUGUAUGCGGCAAGAGUCGAACCAGAAGACUACAACAAGGAACAACCAGGUGGUGAUUGAGCCCUGGUAAGGUAACCGAAGAAGUCCCGUCUUCGAGCAAACCAGCUCUCAGCUUCAGCUGAAAUCCUCCCACGUUCAGGUCCCCAUCAGCAUUGUAGAUCCGCAUGCCACAGCUCCCUAUAACAUUUGGACGCAAAAGGGACAUUUUACCAUUGUUUACUUUAUUUCAGACAUCUAAAAUGGGCCCCUGGUUAGUGGAAGGCAACGGGUUUAAAGUGCAUGAAGAAAGGAAGAUGGUAUGUGAGAAAAUACUGAAAGCAGUUCCUUGCUCCUGCUGCAAAGAUCACCCUCCCUGGCAUUCAGGAAUCUGAACGGCGAGCAAAAGUGUGAGCCAAAAUGCACUGGGCUGACUGAGUCCACGGCCGGCAAAGUUUGCUAUAGAGAAUUGGUGAGAUUUGUCUGAACAGCAAACCCUUCUACCUCUGAUUCAGCCUGUUAAGACCAGGGAUGUCGGCAGGCAAACCUCCUCGCUGCAAGUGAACCCAAGCUCUCUGGAUGUCAGCCGUGAGAAGUUGGGAAGGACAAGAGAGAAAUACCUGCCAAAAAGAAGGAGAAAGGAGAGGANGGUAUCUAAUGCUCGGU